rnacentral:rRNA from 1 species
AGCAUAUCAAUAAGCGGAGGAAAAGAAACCAACAGGGAUUGCCCUAGUAACGGCGAGUGAAGCGGCAACAGCUCAAAUUUGAAAUCUGGCCUCGGCCCGAGUUGUAAUUUGCAGAGGAUGCUUCUGGCGCGGUGCCUUCCGAGUUCCCUGGAACGGGACGCCACAGAGGGUGAGAGCCCCGUAUGGUCGGACACCAAGCCUGUGUGAAGCUCCUUCGACGAGUCGAGUAGUUUGGGAAUGCUGCUCUAAAUGGGAGGUAAAUCUCUUCUAAAGCUAAAUACCGGCCAGAGACCGAUAGCGCACAAGUAGAGUGAUCGAAAGAUGAAAAGCACCUUGAAAAGGGGGUUAAAUAGUACGUGAAAUUGUUGAAAGGGAAGCACUUAUGACCAGACUUGGGCCGGGCGGCUCAUCAGGGGUUCUCCCCUGUGCACUCCGCCCGGCACAGGCCAGCAUCGGUUUUCGCGGGGGGAUAAGACCAUCGGGAACGUAGCACCCUCCGGGGUGUGUUAUAGCCCGGCGGACGAUACCCUCGCGGGGACCGAGGUUCGCGCUCCGCAAGGAUGCUGGCGUAAUGGUCAUCAGUGACCCGUCUUGAA